UGACCUAGCGGCGGACGGGUGAGUAAUGCUUAGGAAUCUGCCUAUUAGUGGGGGACAACAUUCCGAAAGGAAUGCUAAUACCGCAUACGCCCUACGGGGGAAAGCAGGGGAUCUUCNGACCUUGCGCUAAUAGAUGAGCCUAAGUCAGAUUAGCUAGUUGGUGGGGUAAAGGCCUACCAAGGCGACGAUCUGUAGCGGGUCUGAGAGGAUGAUCCGCCACACUGGGACUGAGACACGGCCCAGACUCCUACGGGAGGCAGCAGUGGGGAAUAUUGGACAAUGGGCGAAAGCCUGAUCCAGCCAUGCCGCGUGUGUGAAGAAGGCCUUUUGGUUGUAAAGCACUUUAAGCGAGGAGGAGGCUACUUNGAUUAAUACUCUNGGAUAGUGGACGUUACUCGCAGAAUAAGCACCGGCUAACUCUGUGCCAGCAGCCGCGGUAAUACAGAGGGUGCGAGCGUUAAUCGGAUUUACUGGGCGUAAAGCGUGCGUAGGCGGCUUUUUAAGUCGGAUGUGAAAUCCCUGAGCUUAACUUAGGAAUUGCAUUCNAUACUGGNAAGCUAGAGUAUGGGANAGGAUGGUAGAAUUCCAGGUGUANCGGUGAAAUGCGUACAGAUCUGGAGGAAUACCGAUGGCGAAGGCAGCCAUCUGGCCUAAUACUGACGCUGAGGUAC
rnacentral:rRNA from 1 species